rnacentral:rRNA from 1 species
AGAGUUUGAUCCUGGCUCAGAAUGAACGUUGGCGGCGUGGAUUAGGCAUGCAAGUCGCGCGAGAAAUUUCCUUCGGGGAAUGGACAGCGGCGGAAGGGAGAGGAAUAAGUAGAAAUCUGCCCUCGGGACGGGGAUAGCGGCGGGAAACUGCCGGUAAUACCCGAUAACAUCUUUGGAUCAAAUGGUGUGAUUCCGCCUGAGGAUGAGUCUACUUCCUAUUAGCUAGUUGGUGGGGUAAUAGCCUACCAAGGCAACGAUGGGUAGCGGGUGUGAGAGCACGACCCGCCUCACUGGGACUGAGACACUGCCCAGACACCUACGGGUGGCUGCAGUGGGGAAUAUUGGACAAUGGGCGCAAGCCUGAUCCAGCCAUGCCGCGUGAGUGAUGAAGGCCCUAGGGUUGUAAAGCUCUUUCACCGGAGAAGAUAAUGACGGUAUCCGGAGAAGAAGCCCCGGCUAACUUCGUGCCAGCAGCCGCGGUAAUAU